rnacentral:rRNA from 1 species
AAACUGGAAACUGAAGACUUGAAUGCAGGAGAGGUAAGUGGAAUUCCACGUGUAGCGGUGAAAUGCGUAGAUAUGUGGAGGAACACCAGUGGCGAAGGCGGCUUACUGGCCUGUAAUUGACGCUGAGGCUCGAAAGCGUGGGGAGCAAACAGGAUUAGAUACCCUGGUAGUCCACGCCGUAAACGAUGAGUGCUAAGUGUUAGGGGGUUUCCGCCCCUUAGUGCUGCAGCUAACGCAUUAAGCACUCCGCCUGGGGAGUACGACCGCAAGGUUGAAACUCAAAGGAAUGACGGGGCCCGCACAAGUGUGGAGCAUGUGGUUUAAUUCGAAGCAACGCGAAGAACCUUACCAGGUCUUGACAUCCUUUGACCACUCUGGAGACAGAGCUUUCCCUUCGGGACAAGUGACAGGUGGUGCAUGGUUGUCGUCAGCUCGUGCGUGAGAUGUUGGGUUAAGUCCCGCAACGAGCGCACCCUUGAUUUAGUUGCCAGCAUUAGUUGGCACUCUAAAGUGACUGCCGGUGCAAGCCGGAGAAGUGGGAUGACGUCAAUCAUCAUGCCCUUAUGACCUGGGCUACACACGUGCUACAAUGGAUAAUACAAAGGGUUGCCAAACCGCGAGGUCGAGCUAAUCCCAUAAAAUAUUCUCAGUUCGGAUUGUAGGCUGCAACUCGCCUACAUGAAGCCGGAAUCACUAGUAAUCGUGGAUCAGCAUGCCACGGUGAAUACGUUCCGGGCCUUGUACACACCGCCCGUCACACCACGAGAGUUGUAACACCCGAAGUCGGUAGGGUAACCUUUAUGGAGCCAGCCGCCGAAGGUGGGACAGAUAAUUGGGUGAAGUCGUAACAAGUAGCCGUAUCGGAAGGUGCGGCUGGAUCACCU